GAUGGACGCUGGCGGCGUGCUUAACACAUGCAAGUCGAACGGUGAAGGCGGAGCUUGCUCUGCUGGAUCAGUGGCGAACGGGUGAGUAACACGUGAGCAAUCUGCCCCUGACUCUGGGAUAAGCGCUGGAAACGGCGUCUAAUACUGGAUACGAGCUGCGAAGGCAUCUUCAGCAGCUGGAAAGAACUUCGGUCAGGGAUGAGCUCGCGGCCUAUCAGCUUGUUGGUGAGGUAACGGCUCACCAAGGCGUCGACGGGUAGCCGGCCUGAGAGGGUGACCGGCCACACUGGGACUGAGACACGGCCCAGACUCCUACGGGAGGCAGCAGUGGGGAAUAUUGCACAAUGGGCGAAAGCCUGAUGCAGCAACGCCGCGUGAGGGACGACGGCCUUCGGGUUGUAAACCUCUUUUAGCAGGGAAGAAGCGAAAGUGACGGUACCUGCAGAAAAAGCGCCGGCUAACUACGUG
rnacentral:rRNA from 1 species